ACAGUGAGGGACUGGAGAAGGUGUUGAAAGGUAAGUCCUUCACAACUCCUACACUGAAGGACUGGAGAAGGUCUUGAAUGGUAAGUCCUUCACAACUCCCACAGUGAGGGACUGGAGAAGGUCUUGAAUGGUAAGUCCUUCACAACUCCCACAGUGAGGGACUGGAGAAGGUCUUGAAUGACUCCUCCAGAAUCAAGGAACUGCCAGUCCAAUACAUCACAGGAGGCAAUGCUAUUGGGCUGCAAAAAAAAAUUCACCUUUAGGAAGUUAUUUGACCACAGCCUUCAGAAGAUGCAAGAGUCAAGCCUGAUGAACAAGGUGAGGACCAAUUGGCUAUCAGCAGGAACUUCAACGUGUGGCAGGAAGACUAAAUUCACAGCCAGCCUCUCUGAUGUGGCUGCAAUCUUCAUCCUCUU